rnacentral:rRNA from 1 species
UAAGGAAUAUUGGUCAAUGGGCGCAAGCCUGAACCAGCCAUGCCGCGUGCAGGAAGACGGCCCUAUGGGUUGUAAACUGCUUUUGUCAGGGAAUAAACCCCCGCUCGUGAGCGGGGCUGAAGGUACCUGAAGAAUAAGCAUCGGCUAACUCCGUGCCAGCAGCCGCGGUAAUACGGAGGAUGCAAGCGUUAUCCGGAUUCAUUGGGUUUAAAGGGUGCGCAGGCGGAUGGGUAAGUCAGGGGUGAAAUCCCACAGCUCAACUGUGGAAGGGCCUUGGAUACUGUCAGUCUAGAGUAUAGUUGAGGGGGGCGGAAGGUGUCAUGUAGCGGUGAAAUGCUUAGAUAUGACACAGAACACCGAUCGCGACGGCAGCUCGCUAAGCUAUAACUGACGCUCAUGCACGAAAGCGUGGGGA